rnacentral:tRNA from 1 species
GCGCUCGUGGCGGAAUUGGUAGACGCGCCAGGUUGAGGGCCUGGUGGACUUCGCGGUCCGUGGUGGUUCGAGUCCACUCGGGCGCA